rnacentral:rRNA from 1 species
CUUGCUUUCUUUGCUGGCGACCGGCGCACGGGUGAGUAACACGUAUCCAACCCGCCCUUUACUCGGGGAUAGCCUUUCGAAAGAAAGAUUAAUACCCGAUAGCAUAAUGAUUCCGCAUGGUUUCAUUAUUAAAGGAUUCCGGUAAAGGAUGGGGAUGCGUUCCAUUAGGUUGUUGGUGAGGUAACGGCCCACCAAGCCUUCGAUGGAUAGGGGUUCUGAGAGGAAGGUCCCCCACAUUGGAACUGAGACACGGUCCAA